rnacentral:rRNA from 1 species
GACGAACGCUGGCGGCGUGCUUAACACAUGCAAGUCGAACGGAAAGGCCCUGCUUUUGUGGGGUGCUCGAGUGGCGAACGGGUGAGUAACACGGGAGUAACCUGCCCUUGACUUUGGGAUAACUUCAGGAAACUGGGGCUAAUACCGGAUAGGAGCUCCUGCUGCAUGGUGGGGGUGGGAAAGUUUCGGCGGUUGGGGAUGGACUGGCGGCUUAUCAGCUUGUUGGUGGGGUAGUGGCUUACCAAGGCUUUGACGGGUAGCCGGCCUGAGAGGGUGACCGGCCACAGUGGGAAUGAGAUACGGCCCAGACUCCUACGGGAGGCAGCAGUGGGGAAUAUUGCACAAGGGGCGGAAGCCUGAUGCAGCAACGCCGCGUGCGGGAUGACGGCCUUCGGGUUGUAAACCGAUUUCGCCUGUGACGAAGCGUGAGUGACGGUAAUGGGUAAAGAAGCACCGGCUAACUACGUG